rnacentral:rRNA from 1 species
UACGGAGGAGGCAAGCGUUAUCCGGAAUCAUUGGGCGUAAAGCGCGUGUAGGCGGCCCGGUAAGUCCGCUGUGAAAGUCCAGGGCUCAACCCUGGGAUGCCGGUGGAUACUGUCGGGCUCGAGUCCGGAAGAGGCGAGUGGAAUUCCUGGUGUAGCGGUGAAAUGCGCAGAUAUCAGGAGGAACACCGAUGGCGAAGGCAGCUCGCUGGGACGUGACUGACGCUGAGACGCGAAAGCGUGGGGGGCAAACAGG